rnacentral:rRNA from 1 species
GGGGAAUUUUUCCCAAUCUGUGAACCCCCCACGGAGCAAUCACGCCGGAGGGGANACGGCCUAUAAGGUUGUUAACCUCUUUUNUCAACGGAGGAACAAAAUGAGCGUGUACCUGAAGAAUAAGCAAUCGGCUAACUCCGUGCCAGCAGCCGCGGUAAGACGGAAGGUGGCAAGUGUCAUCCGGAAUCACUGGGCGUAAAGCGUCAGUAGGUGGUUNCGUAAGUCUACUUNUAAAUCGUGAGGCUCAACCUCAAAUGAUGCAGUGGCCACUAUNUGNCUNGAGUAUGGUAGGGGUAAAGGGAAUUUCCAGUGGAGCGGUGAAAUGCGUANAUAUUUGAAAGAACCCCGAUGGCGAAGGCGCUUUCCUGGGCUAAUAAUUACACUCAGAGGACGAAAGCUAGGGUAGCGAAAGGGAGUCAGAUAUCCCCUGUCGUGGUA